rnacentral:rRNA from 1 species
UACAGAGGGUGCAAGCGUUAAUCGGAAUUACUGGGCGUAAAGCGUGCGUAGACGGCUAUCUAAGUCGGGGUGUGAAAGCCCCGGGCUCACCUGGGAAUUGCAUUCGAGACUGAAUAGCUAGGGUACGGUAGAGGGAAGUGGAAUUCCGGUGUAGCGGUGAAAUGCGUAGGAUAUCGGAAGGAACAUCAGUGGCGAAAGCGACUUCCUGGACCAGUACCGACGUCAGGCACGAAAGCGUGGGGAGCAAACAGG